GAUGAACGCUGGCGGCGUGCCUAAUACAUGCAAGUCGAACGCUGGAGAUCUAGCUUGCUAGAUCGAAGGAGUGGCGAACGGGUGAGUAAUACAUAAGCAACCUACCCACGAAGACUGGGAUAAUCUCUGGAAACGGGGACUAAUACCGGAUAGGUAAUCGGAAGGCAUCUUCUGGUUAUUAAAGGUUAAAAACACUGGUGGAUGGGCUUAUGGCGCAUUAGUUAGUUGGUGAGGUAACGGCCCACCAAGACGAUGAUGCGUAGCCGGCCUGAGAGGGUGAACGGCCACAUUGGGACUGAGACACGGCCCAGACUCCUACGGGCGGCAGCAGUAGGGAAUUUUCGGCAAUGGGGGCAACCCUGACCGAGCAACGCCGCGUGAGUGAAGACGGCCUUCGGGUUGUAAAGCUCUGUUGUAAGGGAAGAACGGUAGAUAGAGAAUAUCUAAGUGACGGUACCUUACCAGAAAGCCACGGCUAACUACGUG
rnacentral:rRNA from 1 species